rnacentral:rRNA from 1 species
CAGUAGCCACGGUAAUACAGAGGGUGCAAGCGUUAAUCAGAAUUACUGGGCGUAAAGCGCGCGUAGGUGGUUUGUUAAGUUGGAUGUGAAAUCCCCGGGCUCAACCUGGGAACUGCAUUCAAAACUGACUGACUAGAGUAUGGUAGAGGGUGGUGGAAUUUCCUGUGUAGCGGUGAAAUGCGUAGAUAUAGGAAGGAACACCAGUGGCGAAGGCGACCACCUGGACUAAUACUGACACUGAGGUGCGAAAGCGUGGGGAGCAAACAGGAUUAGAUACCCCAGUAGUCCCUGUCUCUUAUAC